GCGUCAGUCGCAAGAUGAAGCGUUGAAUUGAAGCCCGAGUAAACGGCGGCCGUAACUAUAACGGUCCUAAGGUAGCGAAAUUCCUUGUCGGUUAAAUACCGACCUGCAUGAAUGGCGUAACGAGAUGGGAGCUGUCUCAACCAGAGAUUCAGUGAAAUUGUAGUGGAGGUGAAAAUUCCUCCUACCCGCGGCAAGACGGAAAGACCCCGUGGACCUUUACUACAACUUAGCACUG
rnacentral:rRNA from 1 species